UGAGUAACCUGCCCUUAACUCUGGGAUAAGCCUGGGAAACUGGGUCUAAUACCGGAUAUGACUCCUCAUCGCAUGGUGGGGGGUGGAAAGCUUUAUUGUGGUUUUGGAUGGACUCGCGGCCUAUCAGCUUGUUGGUGAGGUAAUGGCUCACCAAGGCGACGACGGGUAGCCGGCCUGAGAGGGUGAUCGGCCACAUUGGAACUGAGACACGGUCCAGACUCCGUACGGGAGCAG
rnacentral:rRNA from 1 species